rnacentral:rRNA from 1 species
GACGAACGCUGGCGGCGUGCUUAACACAUGCAAGUCGAACGGAAAGGCCCUGCUUUUGUGGGGUGCUCGAGUGGCGAACGGGUGAGUAACACGUGAGUAACCUGCCCUUGACUUUGGGAUAACUUCAGGAAACUGGGGCUAAUACCGGAUAGGAGCUCCUGCUGCAUGGUGGGGGUUGGAAAGUUUCGGCGGUUGGGGAUGGACUCGCGGCUUAUCAGCUUGUUGGUGGGGUAGUGGCUUACCAAGGCUUUGACGGGUAGCCGGCCUGAGAGGGUGACCGGCCACAUUGGGACUGAGAUACGGCCCAGACGCCUACGGGAGGCAGAAGUGGGGAAUAUUGCACAAUGGGCGGAAGCCUGAUGCAGCAACGCCGCGUGCGGGAUGACGGCCUUCGGGUUGUAAACCGCUUUCGCCUGUGACGAAGCGUGAGUGACGGUAAUGGGUAAAGAAGCACCGGCUAACUACGUG